GCCCUGGUGGCUCAGACGGUAAAGCGUCUGCCUACAAUCCAGGAGACCCAGGUUCGAUCCUUGGAUCAGGACG
rfam:TPA: Bos taurus chromosome 26, whole genome shotgun sequence.